rnacentral:lncRNA from 1 species
AGCAGCCCUGGCUGUGGGGUGGCAGCAGAGCUGAGCUGUAUUUUCCAAGUCUUCACCCCAGAGCUCACUUUCACGUUUAUUUAAUGCUGUUGAGUAUUUUAUUACGUUAGUUUAAAAACAAACAACCCCCCCCAACAUAAUUACCACAUGCACCACUCAGAAUCCUGCCUGAUGACCUGUGUGCCCAGAGCAGCCCGCCUCCUCCUUCCUGUACGGGGGUAUAUUCGUGGGGCCUAAAAAGAAGGCUCUGCAGAAGAGCGCAGGAAUUUUGGAGCAGAGCAUUGGAUGUUUUUGAAAGAAGACGCAGACAACCCUGUUCCCUAGCAGGAUUUCCUGAAGACGUACCCAGCCUCUUCGCUGCGCUUCCUUCCCAGGUCUCUGACAGCGCUAAAACGGGGAGCGCCUCUCGCGGGUGCUGAGACACAGAUUUGGGAAACAAGAUGUUCCCAGGCUAAGCAGAAAACGGACUUCUCUGUAUGGCCGCGUCCUAACGGUACCGGGGACUUGAAAGCAGCAGCACUGAACGCCACUGUCAGUCCUUAUCUAACGCUCCAAAAGUUCAACUGUGCAAUUUCAGUUUUCUACUUGUCUUCCCCAGCUUUGACGGACACCACACAGACCUGGAAGAGAUGUCCUAAGGCAGCAGGUUCAGCCGUACUAUUACAAGUAAUGUCAUGUAAUCGCUCAAAAACGUACGUGCGUUCUGCCUGAAAGAAAUCCAUUUCUUGCCACCUGCUAGAAGACAUUCCAAUAGGGUAAAGCUCCCUGGACCUGGCAAUAACACCUUCUCUAAGCAGUUCUUGCAGGUGACAGCGUAUAUAUCCUGGCUUAUGUGGACUUAAAAAAAAAAAAAAAAAGGCAACCGGAAAAAGUCACAGAAGAAAAGUCUGGGGAGGGCUAUUGAGUCAAAGCAACAACGAUCGCGCUGAGCCACAAAAUGAGAAUAUUCUGCAGGAGUAGCGUUGCAUUACAAGCUCACGCUGGUCCUACACUCCUCCUUCCGAAGGAGAGGCGCUGUCCUGCCGACGCUCCUGUCCUUCGCGCCGAGCCGUUGUAGUUCCUCAGCUCCAGCUGGUGCUCCUGCUGGACUAUAUGGUUUGCUACUUGUUGCAAGCGUUUUCUGUUUGCUUUCAAGCUCCCUCGAUCGAAUUCUGAUGGAGUUCAAGGCUUGCUCCCGCGCUUGUUGUCCGUCAUAAGUAGGAAGCAGCCUGAAAAGGCUGGAAUCGCCUAUCAGUGUAUCGGUAACGCGUUUCUCAUCAAGGCAAAUCGGUGCGAUGUCACCCUCUGAACCUGUGGUGUCAAGUAUGCCGCUUGUGUUCACCAUCGCUUACUCCAAACUGGGGCUAGGCCGCCUCUUUUGGGAAAUCCGGCUCUAUAAGUCACUGGCAGCUUUGCCUUCUUUUUCUCCAAUUUUUUUUUUCUUAAAGGAAUUUCCUUAAGUGAUAUUUCAUUAAGUAUUAUUUAUAACAGGCAAGGUCAGAAUGACACAACCUACUUGCAACCAAAUCAUUCUUCCUUUUGUGGAGGAAAAUUUCUCUUGCAGUUUGAAAUAAAGGCGUGUUCUUCAGCUGUUUGCA